rnacentral:rRNA from 1 species
AGUGAACGCUGGCGGUAGGCCUAACACAUGCAAGUCGAACGGCAGCACAGUAAGAGCUUGCUCUUACGGGUGGAGAGUGGCGGACGGGUGAGGAAUACAUCGGAAUCUACUUUUUCGUGGGGGAUAACGUAGGGAAACUUACGCUAAUACCGCAUACGACCUACGGGUGAAAGCAGGGGAUCUUCGGACCUUGCGCGAUUGAAUGAGCCGAUGUCGGAUUAGCUAGUUGGCGGGGUAAAGGCCCACCGAGGCGACGAUCCGUAGCUGGGCUGAGAGGGUGUUGCGCGACACUGGGACUGAGACACGAUCCUGAGUCCGACGUGAGGCACCGGUUGGUAAUGUAGGACGCUGGGCGCAAUCCUGAUCCAGCCAUGCCGGGUGGAUGAAGAAGGGCCUCGGGUGGUAAGGCCCUUUUGGGGUGAAAAAAAAGCAUCAGGAUAGUCGCCGGCUGUUGUGACGGUACCCAAAGAAGAAGCACCGGCUAACUUCGUG